rnacentral:rRNA from 1 species
GAUGAACACUGGCGGCGUGCUUAACACAUGCAAGUCGAACGGUGAAGGGUGGGAGCUUGCUCUUGCUGGAUCAGUGGCGAACGGGUGAGUAACACGUGAGUAACCUGCCCUUGACUCUGGGAUAAGCGUUGGAAACGACGUCUAAUACCGGAUACGAGCUUCAGCCGCAUGGCUAGGAGUUGGAAAGAAUUUCGGUCAAGGAUGGACUCGCGGCCUAUCAGCUUGUUGGUGAGGUAAUGGCUCACCAAGGCGACGACGGGUAGCCGGCCUGAGAGGGUGACCGGCCACACUGGGACUGAGACACGGCCCAGACUCCUACGGGAGGCAGCAGUGGGGAAUAUUGGACAAUGGGCGAAAGCCUGAU